rnacentral:rRNA from 1 species
UGCCAGCAGCCGCGGUAAUACGAAGGGGGCAAGUGUUAUUCGGAAUUAUUGGGCGUAAAGGGUACGUAGGUGGUUUAUAAAGUUAGGUGUUAAAGCCCAAUUUUUAGGAUUGGUUUUACAUUUAAUACUUAUAAACUUGAGUUAAAAAGGGGAUAAUGGAAUUUUUAGUGUAGAGGUGGAAUUUGUAAAUAUUAGAAGGACCUCCAAUAGCGAAGGCAAUUAUCUGGUUUUAAACUGACACUGAGGUACGAAAGCAUGGGGAGCAAACAGGAUUAGAUA